rnacentral:ncRNA from 1 species
CAUUAAGCAAUGAUUGAGAUAAAGAUAUUCUUAUUCGUAACCUCCCAGAGAGUUGUCGUUUGCUGAAAGACAAUAGAUUACUUAGAGUAUUUAUCACUCAGGAGCUUUCCCUCGGAACGAUAUUUUUAUUAGUAUGAGUGGAACGGUAAUGCCCCGUUAUAGGCAGAGGUUUGAUGGAACCUGAUGAGGAGCUUGUAGUGAUGCAAACUUGAAAAAGGGUGGUAGCACGAUAUUUCGUCCCUGAC